rnacentral:rRNA from 1 species
UGGGGAAUAUUGCACAAUGGACGGAAGUCUGAUGCAGCGACGCCGCGUGGGGGAUGAAGGCUUUCGGGUUGUAAACUCCUUUCAGUACAGAAGAAGCUUUAUUGUGACGGUAUGUGCAGAAGAAGCGCCGGCUAACUACGUGCCAGCAGCCGCGGUAAUACGUAGGGCGCGAGCGUUGUCCGGAAUUAUUGGGCGUAAAGAGCUCGUAGGCGGUUUGUCGCGUCUGCUGUGAAAGACCGGGGCUUAACUCCGGGGCUGCAGUGGGUACGAGCAGGCUGGAGUGCGGUAGGUGGAAGCGGAAUUCCUGGUGUGGCGGUGGAAUGCGCAGAUAUCAGGAGGAACACCGAUGGCGAGGGAAGGUUACUGGGCCGUUACUGACGCUGAGGAGCGAAAGCAUGGGGAGCGAACAGG